rnacentral:rRNA from 1 species
GGGCAGGUUGAAGGUUGGGUAACACUAACUGGAGGACCGAACCGACUAAUGUUGAAAAAUUAGCGGAUGACUUGUGGCUGGGGGUGAAAGGCCAAUCAAACCGGGAGAUAGCUGGUUCUCCCCGAAAUCUAUUUAGGUAGAGCCUUGAGCGGACACCUUCGGGGGUAGAGCACUGUUUCGGCUAGGGGUCCAUCCCGGAUUACCAACCCGAUGCAAACUACGAAUACCGAAGAGUGAUACUCAGGAGACACACGGCGGGUGCUAACGUCCGUCGUGGAGAGGGAAACAACCCAGACCGCCAGCUAAGGUCCCAAAGUCUAUAUUAAGUGGGAAACGAAGUGGGAAGGCUUAGACAGCUAGGAUGUUGGCUUAGAAGCAGCCAUCAUUUAAAGAAAGCGUAAUAGCUCACUAGUCGAGUCGGCCUGCGCGGAAGAUGUAACGGGGCUCAAAUAUAGCACCGAAGCUGCGGCAUCAGACGAAAGUCUGUUGGGUAGGGGAGCGUUCUGUAAGCGGAUGAAGGUGGCUCGAGAGGGCUGCUGGACGUAUCAGAAGUGCGAAUGCUGACAUAAGUAACGAUAAAACGGGUGAAAAACCCGUUCGCCGGAAGACCAAGGGUUCCUGUCCAACGUUAAUCGGGGCAGGGUGAGUCGGCCCCUAAGGCGAGGCUGAAAAGCGUAGUCGAUGGGAAACGGGUUAAUAUUCCCGUACUUGGAUAAACUGCGAUGUGGGGACGGAGUAGGUUAGGUUAUCGCACUGUUGGAUAUGUGCGUUUAAGUUGGUAGGUGGGAAGUUUAGGCAAAUCCGGACUUCUUUAACACCGAGAGAUGAUGACGAGGCUCUACGGAGCUGAAGUAACCGAUACCACACUUCCAGGAAAAGCCACUAAGCUUCAGGUUUAUCUAAACCGUACUGAAAACCGACACAGGUGGUCAGGUAGAGAAUACUCAGGCGCUUGAGAGAACUCGGGUGAAGGAACUAGGCAAAAUAGCACCGUAACUUCGGGAGAAGGUGCGCCGGCGUAGAUUGUAGUCCCUAGCGGGCGAAGGUUGAACCGGUCGAAGAUACCAGCUGGCUGCAACUGUUUAUUAAAAACACAGCACUCUGCAAACACGAAAGUGGACGUAUAGGGUGUGAUGCCUGCCCGGUGCUGGAAGGUUAAUUGAUGGUGUAAUCGAAAGAGAAGCUCCUGAUCGAAGCCCCAGUAAACGGCGGCCGUAACUAUAACGGUCCUAAGGUAGCGAAAUUCCUUGUCGGGUAAGUUCCGACCUGCACGAAUGGCAUAAUGAUGGCCAGGCUGUCUCCACCCGAGACUCAGUGAAAUUGAAAUCGCCGUGAAGAUGCGGUGUACCCGCGGCUAGACGGAAAGACCCCGUGAACCUUUACUAUAGCUUGACACUGAAC